GACGAACGCUGGCGGCGUGCUUAACACAUGCAAGUCGAACGGAAAGGCCCUGCUUUUGUGGGGUGCUCGAGUGGCGAACGGGUGAGUAACACGUGAGUAACCUGCCCUUGACUUUGGGAUAACUUCAGGAAACUGGGGCUAAUACCGGAAAGGAGCUCCUGCUGCAUGGUGGGGGUUGGAAAGUUUCGGCGGUUGGGGAUGGACUCGCGGCUUAUCAGCUUGUUGGUGGGGUAGUGGCUUACCAAGGCUUUGACGGGUAGCCGGCCUGAGAGGGUGACCGGCCACAUUGGGACUGAGAUACGGCCCAGACUCCUACGGGAGGCAGCGGUGGGGAAUAUUGCACAAUGGGCGGAAGCCUGAUGCAGCAACGCCGCGUGCGGGAUGACGGCCUUCGGGUUGUAAACCGCUUUCGCCUGUGACGAAGCGUGAGUGACGGUAAUGGGUAAAGAAGCACCGGCUAACUACGUG
rnacentral:rRNA from 1 species